UACCAGCACCCCGAGUUGUCGGGACGAUUAUUGGGCCUAAAGCAUCCGUAGCCUGUUCUGCAAGUCCUCCGUUAAAUCCACCCGCUUAACGGAUGGGCUGCGGGGGAUACUGCAGAGCUAGGAGGCGGGAGAGGCAAACGGUACUCAGUGGGUAGGGGUAAAAUCCACUGAUCUACUGAAGACCACCAGUGGCGAAGGCGGUUUGCCAGAACGCGCUCGACGGUGAGGGAUGAAAGCUGGGGGAGCAAACCGG
rnacentral:rRNA from 1 species